AGUGAACGCUGACGGUAGGCCUAACACAUGCAAGUCGAACGGCAGCACAGUAAGAGCUUGCCCUUACGGGUGGCGAGUGGCGGACGGGUGAGGAAUACAUCGGAAUCUACUUUUUCGUGGGGGAUAACGUAGGGAAACUUACGCUAAUACCGCAUACGACCUACGGGUGAAAGCAGGGGAUCUUCGGACCUUGCGCGAUUGAAUGAGCCGAUGUCGGAUUAGCUAGUUGGCGGGGUAAAGGCCCACCAAGGCGACGAUCCGUAGCUGGUCUGAGAGGAUGAUCAGCCACACUGGAACUGAGACACGGUCCAGACUCCUACGGGAGGCAGCAGUGGGGAAUAUUGGACAAUGGGCGCAAGCCUGAUCCAGCCAUACCGCGUGGGUGAAGAAGGCCUUCGGGUUGUAAAGCCCUUUUGUUGGGAAAGAAAAGCAGCAGGUUAAUACCCCGCUGUUCUGACGGUACCCAAAGAAUAAGCACCGGCUAACUUCGUG
rnacentral:rRNA from 1 species